rnacentral:rRNA from 1 species
GUGGGGAAUUUUGGACAAUGGGCGAAAGCCUGAUCCAGCAAUGCCGCGUGCAGGAUGAAGGCCCUCGGGUUGUAAACUGCUUUUGUACGAAACGAAAAGCCUGGGGCUAAUAUCCCCGGGUCAUGACGGUACCGUAAGAAUAAGCACCGGCUAACUACGUGCCAGCAGCCGCGGUAAUACGUAGGGUGCAAGCGUUAAUCGGAAUUACUGGGCGUAAAGCGUGCGCAGGCGGUGUUUUAAGACAGUGGUGAAAUCCCCGGGCUCAACCUGGGAACUGCCGUUGUGACUGCAAGGCUAGAGUGCGGCAGAGGGGGAUGGAAUUCCGCGUGUAGCAGUGAAAUGCGUAGAUAUGCGGAGGAACACCGAUGGCGAAGGCAAUCCCCUGGGCCUGCACUGACGCUCAUGCACGAAAGCGUGGGGAGCAAACAGGAUUAGAUACCCGUGUAGUCC